GUACAGUGCCUGCAGGGGCUAGGGACAGAGCAAAGGCUGAAUGCAGGGUUUCCAGGUGCGGGCCCACGGCCCCCAGCUCCUGACAGCCAUGAUCAGCGGGCUGGACGACGGGGAUGACCCACACGGCCUGGUGGCCCUGGAGGCCAUGGUGGGCCUGGCUCGACUGCUGGACCUGGUGGCACCCUGGGACCUGCGCCUGGUGCUGCUGCACACAGUGAUCCGCAUCCGGCCCUUCUUCGACAGUGUAAGCCAGCCACGGUGGGGUUGGGUACUGAAGCCAGUGUUCAUGGCCCCCGGCCAGUCCCUGCCACUUCCCCAUGGGUCCCCCGAGCCAUACUUCCACCCGUCACUUAGGCCCCAACAGGUACUGUCUCCCCCAAGCCCCUAACAAGGAGUUUUUCUGUGGCAACCUGAGUUCUCUUCCCAAGCCCACCCACUACAUGGGACAGGAAGGAUGGCACCUGACAGGGGCCCAUAGCUACAGGCUGCAGGAGGGCCAGGGGGAGGAGCACUGUAAGGUGACAGGGCAACACCUCUGCCAGGAGAAGGUGGAGUUCCGAGAAGCAUCCAUCCGCCUCUUUGGGCACCUCAACAAGGCCUGCCAUGGGGACUGUGAAGAAGUCUUCCUGGAGCAGGUUGUGGGCGGGCUGGUGCCUCUGCUGCUACACCUGCAGGACCCUCAAGCCCCUGUGGCCAAUGUGAGUAGCCGAUGGGGGAGGGGUGGGGCCUGGGCGGGGCGCGGGGCGCGGGGCUCAGCGUGGUACCCUGUUAGGCCUGCAGGUUUGCCCUGUGCAUGUGUGUCCCCAACCUGGAGUGCGAGGAGCUGGCAGCCACCUUCCACAAGCACCUGCAGGAGGGACGCAGCCUGCACUUCGGGGAGUUCCUCAACUCAACCUGCAAGCACCUGGUGAGAUGGGCACACGGGGGAGGCCCCGCCCAGGCGAGGCUGUCCACCCAUACUACCUUGCCUGCCUCUGCAGAUGCAUCACUUCCCUGACCUGCUGGGCCGCCUGGUGAGCACCAGCCUGUUCUACUUUAAGAGCACCUUGGAAGAGGUCCGCGCUGCAGCCCCCAUGCUCACAGGUGAGCGCUGGCUGACCUCCUUACCCCCCCGGACCCUGGGGCCCACCUCCACUCUUGCCACACACCUAACCCCACCUGCUGCAGGGUUCCUGGUGCUGCAUGCAGAACCCGAGCAGCAGCCGCAGGUGGACCUGGAGCAACUGAUGGCAGGUGUGUGCCCCUACAGCCUGAGCCCCCACCCCACCCCCCACCCCCGCAACCUGCCCAGCUCUGCUGGGGCCCAGUGACCCUGUGGGCAUCUGCGGGGACUAAGUGAUUUUCCUGGAUUUCAAGUUUUUUUUCCCUGUCACUGGUGACCUCAUCGUCUCUAGUAAUUCACGGAAACUUCCUAACUGUUCCAAAAGAGCUUAAAAAACACUAAAAAAGGAAAAACUAUCUUUCCGUUGGCUCCCAAGCCCUUCCAGCAGAGCUCCGUGAGGAAGGCUGUGGGCGGCCCCAGGAGCAGGCGCAGGGCGUGCACACAGCCGCCUCUCCCUCUCCCAGCACUGCAGCUCCUGCUGCGGGACCCAGCACCCGGGGUCCGGGAGAAGUCUGCCGAGACGCUGGGCCGCCUGGUGAAGUUCGCCUGAGGCAGACCAGCAGCCAGCAGCCAACAGCACAGCGUGCCUGCACCUGCCAGAGGAAGGCCCUGCGGACCCUCCUCGGACACUCUGCUGCCAGGCGCUACCCGGACCCAGCCCCUGCUGGUGGGGAAGGGGCCAGGGGCCAGACUGGGCAGGGCAAGCCCAUGAGCCCCCACAGGUCUCCCAAUAAAGCCGUUUGCUCCUCAGUGGGUAA
rnacentral:lncRNA from 1 species